UUUCCGUAGGUGAACCUGCGGAAGGAUCAUUAUUGAAUGAAACACUUCUGGCUUUAUGCUGUUGUGCUGGCCCUUUGGGCAAUGUGCACACGGCUCUGGUCACUUGUUUCUUCUGUUCCACCUGUGCACUGCCUGUAGACACGCUGUGCCUAUGAUAUUUGUUAACACACAACAAUGUUAGUUGGCAUGUUAUAUAUAAUAAUAAAAUAUACAACUUUCAACAACGGAUCUCUUGGUUCUGGCAUGAUGAAGAACGCAGC
rnacentral:misc_RNA from 1 species